rnacentral:rRNA from 1 species
GUUAGUCGGGACCUAAGCCGAGGCAGAGAUGCGUAGGCGAUGGCCAACAGGUAGAAAUUCCUGUACCGGUGCGUGUCCGUUUGAGUGAUGUGGUGACGCAGUAGGAUAGAUGGAGCGUGUGGAAGGUAGAGCACGUCCAAGCAGUGAGUGGGCAGGACAGGCAAAUCCGUCCUGUAUCAACCAUGAGCUGUGAUGGGGAGCCGAAAUUGAGUAGGCGAAGCCAUUGAUUUCACACUGCCAAGAAAAG